CGGACGGGUGAGUAACACGUGGAUAACCUACCUAUAAGACUGGGAUAACUUCGGGAAACCGGAGCUAAUACCGGAUAAUAUAUUGAACCGCAUGGUUCAAGUAGUGAAAGACGGUUUUGCUGUCACUUAUAGAUGGAUCCGCGCCGCAUUAGCUAGUUGGUAAGGUAACGGCUUACCAAGGCAACGAUGCGUAGCCGACCUGAGAGGGUGAUCGGCCACACUGGAACUGAGACACGGUCCAG
rnacentral:rRNA from 1 species